CGAAAAGUAGUUUAAAGUAAAACGCCAAGUUGCAAGCUUGAAGUUGGCCAGGGGCCCUUUUCUU
rnacentral:tRNA from 1 species